GGGCUGGUAGUCGAAUGGUAAGACGCCGCGUUCGCAACGCGGAGACUCGGGGUUCGAUUCCCCGCCAGUCCA
rnacentral:tRNA from 1 species